UUGCUGCAAGUCUUGCUGUGUUUGCUGCCUAUAGUUUGGUUAAGGGUUAGAGAGGAGAUUUAUAUUUUUGACGUGGAGGUCUUCUAUAAAUUCCUUGUUGUAAAAACUGCAACCAUUAUAGUGCAUUUGCUUCCUGUUACGGAAGGACACUGGAUGUAGGCAUUGUUGGCCAAACCAGUAUAAAAACCAGUGUUUGAUUUUCUUUAUACCUGCACUUUUACUUACAAUCGACUUUACGAUUCCCGCAG
rnacentral:lncRNA from 1 species